AGCAGCCGCGGUAAUUCCAGCUCCAAUAGCGUAUAUUAAAGUUGUUGCAGUUAAAAAGCUCGUAGUUGAAUUUCGGGGUUAGUAGGUUGGUCAUGCCUCUGGUAUGUACUGGUCUCACUGAUUCCUCCUUCCUGGUGAAUCUUAAUGCCAUUAAUUUGGUGUUUUGGGGAAUUUGGACUGUUACUUUGAAAAAAUUAGAGUGUUUAAAGCAAGCUAACGCUUGAAUACAUUAGCAUGGAAUAAUGAAAUAGGACGUUCGAUCCUAUUUUGUUGGUUUCUAGGAUUGACGUAAUGAUUAAUAGGGAUAGUUGGGGGCAUUAGUAUUCAAUUGUCAGAGGUGAAAUUCUUGGAUUUAUUGAAGACUAACUACUGCGAAAGCAUUUGCCAAGGAUGUUUUCAUUAAUCAAGAACGAAAGUUAGGGGAUCGAAGACGAUCAGAUACCGUCGUAGUCUUAACCAUAAACUAUGCCGACUAGGGAUCGGAUGAUGUUAAUUUUUUAAUGACUCA
rnacentral:rRNA from 1 species